AGGGAAGUCCUGCACGACCAGCUCCCUCCGAACUCCCCCAGGUCUUGACCGAAGCAAGGGUAAGAGGUUGUAGCGGUGCGAUGUAGAUCGCUUCCCUUUU
rnacentral:SRP_RNA from 1 species